rnacentral:rRNA from 1 species
UACAGAGGGUGCAAGCGUUAUUCGGAAUUACUGGGCGUAAAGCGUGCGUAGACGGUUAUUUAAGUCAGGUGUGAAAGCCCCGGGCUCAACCUGGGAAUUGCAUUUGAGACUGAAUAGCUAGGGUGCGGAAGAGGGAAGCGGAAUUUCCGGUGUAGCGGUGAAAUGCGUAGAUAUCGGAAGGAACACCAGUGGCGAAAGCGGCUUCCUGGUCCAGCACCGACGUUCAGGCACGAAAGCGUGGGGAGCAAACAGG